AUGGCACAGCUGCACGCCUCCUUUACCAACAUCUCGCGAUGUUUGCUUUUUAGUGGUUUUAUAGCACCAUUAUCACCAUCGUCAAAUAACGAUAGACAAUAAGAAAUCAGUCGUUUGCCUUGAAGCAUGGCUUUACUAUCUCCCUCAUCUUAAAUGCAACUGUGAUCGCUCUAUAAUUAAGUAUACAUUAUUUAUUUUGCGUUGUAACAAGUUAAUUCAACACUGACCACAUUGCCACAGAGGCGGUAUUCAUUUUCGGGGAAUAUUCCGAGUGAAAAGUAUAAAAGGACUUCCUCAAAACAACCGGCAGUAAACUCAAAGAGCUCGUAAUUUGAGGGACACAAAAUAGAAGAAUACCACCACUACAAGAUGCCGUCAUCGACUAGUCUACUGGCCAUCUGUCUUCUGAUUGGUUCAGCGGUGAGUGCUGACGCAGGCGUACUACGUAGUAACAAGUGUUUGGACACGUGUUUUCAUUUGGCCCGAGAAUGCAAGACGCAGUGUUAUCAUCUUCGGUUUGGAAGUCAGUCGUGCAAACGCCUUUGCGAAGAAAACCUAUUCUUGCACUGUGUCCAUAGGAACGAAUGUACGUCAUAGCUUAAGUCUGCGUUGGUUGGCUUAAGCCCUGGAAGGCAGUAUACGCUGAUUAGUUAAAACCUUAGCCUGUGCUUCGCUUAUUGGCUGUCAUUGACAGGUUUCCUCAUCGACAGUCACAUAUCGCACACAAGCUGAAAAAUCCAGAUCUUCAACGGACUAGAAAAACAAAGGGAAUAUGGAUUGUAUAUAUUUCUUAUUGAAGACGAAAUGCCGUUCUUUUUCCAUGAGUUUUGUAAAGAUGAACCAUUAAAGAUUCAUAUGCCGCACUUCGUGACUCUCAGCAAAUUUUCCUCAACGAACCUUGUCUGUUGUAUCAGGCAAUGUCCUAUAUUUAUAACUGAUUUAAAAUAGAAGUGUUAGCCCCAUAUUCACGUCUUUCGGUGUGCAGUUAGGACUGUUAGGGGUUUUAGCUUGCAAAAUAGAUCAUCGAAACCAAACUCAGUUGAGGGAAAAUUUUAGAGAUUAUAAUCGUCGGGUGGAUCACGUUGGAGGCUUUUAUUAAAGAAAGGUUGAGGGUUGGAGCAUGUAGCAUUAUAUAUUGAGCGGGGAAAAUAUAGGAGAGAGGAGGCUUCAGGCCUCAUUCACUUUCUCCAUAGAAAUGGUCAUAGAAAUAAAAUGUUUUAGCGUGCA